rnacentral:sRNA from 1 species
CUCUUUCUCUUCUCUUCUUCACUUGCUCUAGUUCUUGGAUGCUUUAAACCUCUCUCUCUCUCUCUCUCA